UGGCGGACGGGUGAGUAACGCGUGGGUAACCUGCCUCAUACAGGGGGAUAACAGUUAGAAAUGACUGCUAAUACCGCAUAAGACCACAGCACCGCAUGGUGCAGGGGUAAAAACUCCGGUGGUAUGAGAUGGACCCGCGUCUGAUUAGGUAGUUGGUGGGGUAACAGCCUACCAAGCCGACGAUCAGUAGCCGACCUGAGAGGGUGACCGGCCACAUUGGGACUGAGACACGGCCCAA
rnacentral:rRNA from 1 species